GAUGAACGCUGGCGGCGUGCCUAAUACAUGCAAGUCGAGCGAACAGAUGAGAAGCUUGCUUCUCUGAUGUUAGCGGCGGACGGGUGAGUAACACGUGGGUAACCUACCUAUAAGACUGGGAUAACUCCGGGAAACCGGGGCUAAUACCGGAUAAUAUUUUGAACCGCAUGGUUCAAUAGUGAAAGACGGUUUCGGCUGUCACUUAUAGAUGGACCCGCGCCGUAUUAGCUAGUUGGUAAGGUAACGGCUUACCAAGGCGACGAUACGUAGCCGACCUGAGAGGGUGAGCGGCCACACUGGAACUGAGACACGGUCCAGACUCCUACGGGAGGCAGCAGUAGGGAAUCUUCCGCAAUGGGCGAAGGCCUGACGGAGCAACACCGCGUGAGUGAUGAAGGUCUUCGGAUCGUAAAACUCUGUUGUUAGGGAAGAACAAAUUUGUUAGUAACUGAACAAGUCUUGACGGUACCUAACCAGAAAGCCACGGCUAACUACGUGCCAGCCGCCGCAGUAA
rnacentral:rRNA from 1 species